UUAUAAGAGACAGCAGUCGCCGCGGUAAUACAGAGGGUGCGAGCGUUAAUCGGAUUUACUGGGCGUAAAGCGUGCGUAGGCGGCUUUUUAAGUCGGAUGUGAAAUCCCUGAGCUUAACUUAGGAAUUGCAUUCGAUACUGGGAAGCUAGAGUAUGGGAGAGGAUGGUAGAAUUCCAGGUGUAGCGGUGAAAUGCGUAGAGAUCUGGAGGAAUACCGAUGGCGAAGGCAGCCAUCUGGCCUAAUACUGACGCUGAGGUACGAAAGCAUGGGGAGCAAACAGGAUUAGAGACCCCCGUAGUCCCUGUCUCUUAUAC
rnacentral:rRNA from 1 species